rnacentral:rRNA from 1 species
CUCCCCUUGUUUGAUUUUUGCCUGACGUGGACGCUAGUCUCACAGAUUUAGCCCAUGCAUGUGUAAGCGAAGCGAUAUGUGGAGCGGUGAAAGGCUCAGUAACGGGCGAUUAUUUGAUCUCCUGGGACGGACAACAUCGGGAAACUGAUGGGAAAACGUCUAAGUUGCAGUUUUUUUGAUUGUGACGUAAACCUAUGUGUGCAGGAGAGUAAGAUGCCAUCCUAUCAGUUAGUAAGUAGGGUAAGGGCCUACUUAGACGAAGACGGGUACGGGGAAUGAGGGUUUGAUUCCGGAGAGGGAGCCUGAGAGAUGGCUACCAGGACCAAGGUCAGCAGCAGGCGCGAAAAUUAUCGAAGCCCGCCUAGGGGCGAUAGUGAGGAGACGUGUAUACGAAGUACGUGUAAAGACCGUACUAAUAACUGGAGGUCAAGUCUGGUGCCAGCAUCCGCGGUAAUUCCAGCUCCAGGGGUGUCUAUGAUGAUUGCUGCGAUUAAAAAGUCCGUAGUCGAGCUGACUGACUGACCUGCAAUGUGAUUGAUUAAAGAACGAGCAGGGUUAGGAAAGCAGAGAUUAGGAGCGACCGAGGGCUAGAGUAUUGAAUGGCGAGAGGUGAAAUUUGAUGACCCAUUCAGGAGUGACAAAGGCGAAGGCACUAGUCAAGGGCGAAUCCGAUGAUCAAGGACGUAGGCUAGAGUUUCGAAAACGAUUAGAGACCGGAGUAGUUCUAGCAGUAAACUAUGCCGACGCCGUGGUAUUAAAUUUUAGUAUUGCGGAAGAGAAAUCAAGUAAGGCUUUGGGGGAGAGUACGCGCGCAAGCGAUAAAUUUAAAGGAAAUUGACGGAGGAACACCACAAGGAGUGGAGUGUGCGGCUUAAUUUGACUCACGCGGACAGCUUACCAACGCCA